GAUGAACGCUGGCGGCGUGCCUAAUACAUGCAAGUCGAGCGAACGGAGGAGAAGCUUGCUUCUCUGAUGUUAGCGGCGGACGGGUGAGUAACACGUGGAUAACCUACCUAUAAGACUGGGAUAACUUCGGGAAACCGGAGCUAAUACCGGAUAAUAUUUUGAACCGCAUGGUUCAAAAGUGAAAGACGGUCUUGCUGUCACUUAUAGAUGGAUCCGCGCUGCAUUAGCUAGUUGGUAAGGUAACGGCUUACCAAGGCAACGAUGCAUAGCCGACCUGAGAGGGUGAUCGGCCACACUGGAACUGAGACACGGUCCAGACUCCUACGGGAGGCAGCAGUAGGGAAUCUUCCGCAAUGGGCGAAAGCCUGACGGAGCAACGCCGCGUGAGUGAUGAAGGUCUUCGGAUCGUAAAACUCUGUUAUUAGGGAAGAACAUAUGUGUAAGUAACUGUGCACAUCUUGACGGUACCUAAUCAGAAAGCCACGGCUAACUACGUG
rnacentral:rRNA from 1 species